rnacentral:rRNA from 1 species
CCUACGGGGGGCUGCAGUGGGGAAUAUUGCACAAUGGGCGCAAGCCUGAUGCAGCCAUGCCGCGUGUGUGAAGAAGGCCUUCGGGUUGUAAAGCACUUUCAGCGGGGAGGAAGGCGGUGAGGUUAAUAACCUCAUCGAUUGACGUUACCCGCAGAAGAAGCACCGGCUAACUCCGUGCCAGCAGCCGCGGUAAUACGGAGGGUGCAAGCGUUAAUCGGAAUUACUGGGCGCAAAGCGCACGCAGGCGGUCUGUCAAGUCGGAUGUGAAAUCCCCGGGCUCAACCUGGGAACUGCAUUCGAAACUGGCAGGCUAGAGUCUUGUAGAGGGGGGUAGAAUUCCAGGUGUAGCGGUGAAAUGCGUAGAGAUCUGGAGGAAUACCGGUGGCGAAGGCGGCCCCCUGGACAAAGACUGACGCUCAGGUGCGAAAGCGUGGGGAGCAAACAGGAUUAGAUACCCUUGUAGUC